rnacentral:rRNA from 1 species
AGCCGCCGCGGUAACACCGGCAGCUCUAGUGGUAACUAAUUUUAGUUGGGCCUAAAGCGUCCGUAGCCGGUUUAAUAAGUCUCUGGUGAAAUCCUGUAGCUUAACUGUGGGAAUUGCUGGAGAUACAUUAGACUUGAGACCGGGAGAGGUUAGAGGUACUCCCAGGGUAGAGGUGAAAUUCUGUAAUCCUGGGAGGACCGCCUGUUGCGAAGGCGUCUAACUGGAACGGUUCUGACGGUGAGGGACGAAAGUUAGGGGCGCGAACCGGAUUAGAUACCCGGGUAGUCCUAACUGUAAACGAUGCGGACUUGGUGUUGGGGUGGCUUUGAGCUGCUCCAGUGCCGAAGGGAAGCUGUUAAGUCCGCCGCCUGGGAAGUACGGUCGCAAGACUGAACUUAAAGGAAUUGGCGGGGGAGCACCACAACGCGUGGAGCCUGCCGGUUUAAUUGGAUUCAACGCCGGACAUCUCACCAGAGGCGACAGCUGUAUGAUAGCCAGGUUGAUGACUUUGCUUGACUAGCUGAGUAGUGGUGCAUGG